UACGUAGGCAGCGAGCGUUGUUCGGAGUUACUGGGCGUAAAGGGUGUGUAGGCGGUUGUUUAAGUUUGGUGUGAAAUCUCCCGGCUCAACUGGGAGGGUGCGCCGAAUACUGAAUGACUUGGAGUGCGGGAGAGGAAAGUGGAAUUCCUGGUGUAGCGGUGAAAUGCGCAGAUAUCGGGAAGAACACCCGUGGCGAAGGCGGCUCUCUGGGACGGUACUGACGCUGAGACGCGAAAGCGUGGGGAGCGAACAGG
rnacentral:rRNA from 1 species